rnacentral:lncRNA from 1 species
AAACAAGCUACUGCUUUGGUUGUCACCGUAAGGUUUUUGGCUCCUUAUUAACACACCUGAUUUUUUUUCCAGAUCAGGAAAUUCCGAAGACCAUGAAAAAUCAGGAAAUUCCGAAGACCAUGAAAAAUCAGGAAAUUCCGAAGACCAUGAAAGAGCACAUUCCCAUCAUUCUAGUGCUCGUCGUUCUGGUUCUCUGCUGUUUUGCAGCUGUUCUAUACUACAGGCACCGCCAGCGAGCAACAGCCAAAGGGAAUUUUGCAGACCUAUUAAGGACUCUCCUUCCACUUUUGAGACAAAAUGAAAAAGCAAGAGAAAAUGCACCUAACCAAGAAGUGUGAUGUGUGAAAACAAGAUGCCCCCUCAAUGAAAAUGAUGAUCCAGCCUGCACCAAUGCAACUAAAUUUAAGCAAAGGAGUAGAUACAGAAACUCAGUCAUUCAGAACAUACACACUAUGCAAUCCAACAGUGUGAAGCAACCAGCAUUUUAAAGACUUUUUUUUGUCAGACAUCCUGUUUUGCAGACUAGGGUCUACAUUCUCCUCUCAGUUUCACUGGUGUAACUCAGUGGAAAAUGUGGUCUGAUAAUUUGAGUACAGUUCUUUCCCUCCCUGAAACACUGAUGCUUUAAGGCCAUAUUUUCACCACUUUUGAUGGAAUCAAAGCUUUGCUUCGUACCUUAAUAGCCAGCCCUUUAGGAUGGGCUAAUACGGCAGCUACACGUAAGGAGCAUUUUAUCCCCUGCAUUAUGUAGCAUUAUUAACUUGCUGCCAUCAGGACAGAAGUGCAGUGCAUGAUCACAAAGACUUUGUGGUGCGAGUGCCAAUCUAAUUCACCAACCAAAUGCUGUAUUGUGAGGGGACUGUGGAACUGGGAAACAUCCCCUGACUCAGCACCAACUUCAAUUACUUGCAAGAGUUGUCUGCUGAAUGGAAAUGCUGAAGAGAAAAUGAAUGAGGCCCCAACUUCACAAUUAGAUUGCAGAAGUUAAUUGCACUGAUUUUCUUCCGACAUAUGAUAAAAAGUAUAGAAAGAAUGUGGGGAAUCUUGUUUUGUGGGCUGACAGUUACCUGGAUUAUUUCACCCUAUAGAAUGAAAAUGUGCUGUUUGUCAAGGCUUUUAAUCAUGUAAUUAAAAUAUCGAUUUAGGACACUAACUUUAGGCAUCCAUUGAAAAAACAUCUUGGCCAUGGAUUUUAUCCAAAUAUCUCGCUAUGUUGAAUGACACAGAGAUACCUGCCUUCCUCUCUCUUGCUGAAAAGCUGUGGGAGAUUCCCAUAGAGCCAGAUUUUAGUAAUUUUUUCAAAAUACUCUCUGAGGAUAGGCCAGGCCUUUUGAAACC